rnacentral:rRNA from 1 species
GGACGAACGCUGGCGGCGUGCCUAACACAUGCAAGUCGAGCGAGGAGAUCCUCGGGAUGAUCCUAGCGGCGGACGGGUGAGUAACACGUGGGCAACCUGCCUCAUAGAGAGGAAUAGCCUUCCGAAAGGGAGAUUAAUACCUCAUAACAUUGCAGUUUCGCAUGGAACAGCAAUUAAAGGAGUAAUCCGCUAUGAGAUGGGCCCGCGGCGCAUUAGCUAGUUGGUGAGGUAACGGCUCACCAAGGCGACGAUGCGUAGCCGACCUGAGAGGGUGAUCGGCCACAUUGGGACUGAGACACGGCCCAGACUCCUACGGGAGGCAGCAGUGGGGAAUAUUGCACAAUGGGGGAAACCCUGAUGCAGCAACGCCGCGUGAGUGAUGACGGCCUUCGGGUUGUAAAGCUCUGUCUUCAGGGACGAUAAUGACGGUACCUGAGGAGGAAGCCACGGCUAACUACGUGCCAGCCGCCGC